UUGCAUGUUUACUUAGAAUGCCCAAAUAGACGCUAAAAGAAUGUUCGAAACUAAAACGAAAAUAACACUACAAAGUACUCAAUAACUUUGAUUUGCGAUUGGCAAAGUGGAAAGAGAUGAUUGCUUAGCUAGUCUCUUAUUGUUCCAGGUCCAAAUUUUGGUUGUUUUGAUCUGAAAUGAUUAAUAAGAAGCGGGUGAGAUACGUUAACUCAGUAAGAACACUAAAAACCUUAUCAUCGACACAGUAAUCAAAGAAUUAUAAAAAAAUCAUAAAACAACUGAUAAAAUAAUUUUUUACUUGAAAAUAAACCUGGUGCGAUCGCACCCUUCCUUUUAUAGAAAUAAUUUUAUUUUCCUAUGUUCUUACCAAACAACACUCAUACACAACAAUAAGGUAUAUUCAAGGACAUAGUGAGAAUAUGAUUAAUUCUUUACCGUCCUACCCAAGCUAGGAUUACUUACCAUCACCAUUUUUAUUACAUGUUGUCAUUUUAUUUUCAUUACCGGUAUCGCUGUGGGCUUAUAGGGAUCCCCGCUACACAUGGGUACACAAACAUUUCCUUUUGUAAAUCACCGAUCAUCCUCGUAUUCCAUCUGGUAAUGGGCGCCAUAACCAAGAACUGUCUCAAUACCCUGUCCGGUAUGAGCAUGAUUAAUUAACUCCCAACUCCGUCCAGUAUAGGACUUCCCAGUCUUGUGAGACUGAGGAUACAUCCACUGUAGGGUUUAUCCUAUGUAUCAAGUCUGUACAUUCUCUCCCAGGAUACCAGCAAGACCUUGAUUUAUAUUCAUGUUUACACAUGCAUUUAAUAACAUAUAAUCUUGCACUUUUCAAUGGAUUAAUGGCAUGUGAAAUUCGUACCCUACUAAAACGAGAAGCAUGUGAAUCGUACUUUGUUACUCAUCAAGGACCAAAUUAAAAUCUAGCCAAACGACGCAAGUGGAACGCAUACUCCAUGAUUGGACCAACACUACUAAUGAAAGUCAUUAUGUGACAAAUAAAUUUAAACACAAGGAAUCUACAAAGUAAAAUAAUCAUUCACAAGAUAAAUGCAAUAAAUAAAGUGAAAUUCAGCAAUUCGGUCCAUAUAAUCAAUGUGCUAAUUUUUAACAGUCACACAAAAUACAUAUAAGGACAAGAUUAAUAAACUAAAUAAGAAUAGAAAACUAAAUAAUACAUAAAUAUAGGGAAUGGAAAUAACGAUAAAAUAACUGAAAAAAAUAGGGAAUAAAUGUUCAAAAAUUAAGGAUGGGCGAAAUAAUUAGAACAAUAAAUAAGAGUUUAUUAGCUCCAUCGGCAACUUGGAAGAUUGGAUUUCACAACACGAAUUAGAUUUCAAUUUAAUCGAGUACACAUGUAUACAUACAUUCAUAAAUGUCUUUUUUAUUUUAUUUUAUUUAUUUAUUUUUUUUUUUUUGUUCAGGCUUUGAUUAAGUCGUUAGAAGGGAGGGAUUAAGGUGUUCUUACCCUUGGGACGCCGGUGACGUCAUUUCUUGCAGCCGUCGGUCGCGGUGGUACUCCUUACUCUCAGCUUCCACUGUUUCCUUCCUGUUUCCAUUCUAUUUUUUUAUUUUUUUUUAUGUGAAUGGAAAACCAAAUCGUCAGUAUAUACGGGAAGAGAAAGGGAACAAAGGAAGGAAAAUGAGCUUACUAAAAUUGGGCCGUGGCUUUCAAUUGCAGACACUUGUUUUCCCAUUCUCGACUACGAUUUUUGUCAAUCUAAGGCGAAAAUGGUUAAAAAGGGGUCGGGAAUAGAUAAAUAGGAGAAAAAAAAGAGAAAAUCAAGCUUACCAACGUCGUCCUCGGCUUCUCUCUGGCAUCCCGAUCUUCUUAUUCUCCGAUUGACC
rnacentral:lncRNA from 1 species